rnacentral:misc_RNA from 1 species
CGGCUGCGGCCCACUGCAUAAUUAACAACGUGCCGCCAGGUGUUGCACGGUUUAUGACUAGCCCCCUUGUGGCUAUACCGACGGAACACGCCACGAUUCGACGCGUGAAAUUUGGGAUUUCACGGCGAGACUCGAGACGAACGAGCACGUUCUCACGCACGCAAUCUAAUGAGCUGACACAACUCAGGGAGACACGUAUGCGAAGCUUCAAUGGGGAUCAGAUCUCGCGAUCAAGGGAACGACCAACGACCGGUUGACCGACGACCAAUUUCGCCGAUGCCUCGCUGUAGCUUUCUGCCAGCUCUGUCGAUAAUGCAGCCGUACGAUCACACAACGUUAAGUCAACAAGACGCGUAUGCACACGUUCGUACAGGCCGCGUCGUUGCGGCAAACUGACUGACUGACUGACUGACUCAAUGAGAAAAGGUCUACAGCAGCCCGUCUUCUUGCUGUGAGUCCGAGAGCAAGAUCUCUAUCUCUUAAGGGGUCCCGAUACGGUUGGGGAUAAGGGUGCGUGCACAACGAUUUGCAAGAUCGAUAUUCGAUGCUUCUUUUGAAACUUAACCGAUCAUACUUUCUGACAUAAUCUCCAUUGGAUUUUCUUAACUUCUUCUUUGAUAUUUUUAAUAUUUUUUAAUUUUGCUACAUUGCUUGCC